rnacentral:snRNA from 1 species
GGAUGUGAGGGCAAUCUAGCUGUGACUCCUGUUACCCCACUGAUCUCCAGGGUUGAUUUUGCUGACCUGGCUGACUCCCUCCCUGUUCCAUGUAUGUAUCCCUCCCGACACCGCAUUCUUCUAAGAGGACAACCUUCCCAGAAGGAGGUCUGGUCUUUGGUCAAGGGUAUGUAAGUAGAUGUGCUCCCUUGCUAAAACCUCCAAACAAGCUCAUGAAAUUAUAAACAGAUAGCAUAAAAUAUCUUUCAUCAAGUGCUGGGACUUAUAUACUAAAUUAGCAUUUAUUUAU